rnacentral:rRNA from 1 species
GCAGUAGCCGCGGGAAUACAGAGGGUGCGAGCGUUAAUCGGAUUUACUGGGCGUAAAGCGUGCGUAGGCGGCUUCUUAAGUCGGAUGUGAAAUCCCUGAGCUUAACUUAGGAAUUGCAUUCGAUACUGGGAAGCUAGAGUAUGGGAGAGGAUGGUAGAAUUCCAGGUGUAGCGGUGAAAUGCGUAGAGAUCUGGAGGAAUACCGAUGGCGAAGGCAGCCAUCUGGCCUAAUACUGACGCUGAGGUACGAAAGCAUGGGGAGCAAACAGGAUUAGAGACCCCAGUAGUCCCUGUCUCUUAUAC